GUAGUUAGCCGGGGCUUCCUCACAGGGUACCGUCACUUCUUCGUCCCCUGCGACAGAGGUUUACAAUCCGAAAACCUUCUUCCCUCACGCGGCGUUGCUGGGUCAGGCUUGCGCCCAUUGCCCAAUAUUCCCCACUGCUGCCUCCCGUAGGAGUCUGGACCGUGUCUCAGUUCCAGUGUGGCCGAUCAGCCUCUCAGCUCGGCUACCCAUCGUCGGCUUGGUGGGCUGUUAUCUCACCAACUACCUAAUGGGACGCGAACCCCUCUUACAGCGAUAAAUCUUUGACCUCAUCCCGAUGCCGGGUCGUGGUCUCAUGCGGUAUUAGCACCUGUUUCCAAGUGUUAUCCCCCUCUGUAAGGCAGGUUGUUCACGCGUUACUCACCCGUUCGCCACUAGAAUUAUAAAUUCCAUCCGAAAACUUCCUUCAUAAUCCCCGUUCGACUUGCAUGUGUUAGGCACGCCGCCAGCGUUCGUCCUGAGCCACGGAUCAAACUACUGA
rnacentral:rRNA from 1 species